rnacentral:lncRNA from 1 species
CCAAGCGCCACAUCACGCGGCUGCUGUUCCUGGACUACGCAUUGAUCCUGGCCUUCUACGGACUCCUCUCCUUCACGGCCAUCUUCUGCUUCCGUGGCGACAGCCUCAUGGACAUGUACACCCUCAACUUUGCCAGGUGUGACGUCGUGGGCCUGGCAGCUGUCCGGUUCUUUCUGGGCCUCUUCCCCGUGUUCACCAUCAGCACCAACUUCCCCAUCAUCGCGGUGACCCUGCGCAACAACUGGAAAACACUCUUCCACCGUGAAGGUGGCACCUACCCAUGGGUGGUAGACCGCGUGGUGUUCCCCACAAUCACCCUGGUGCCCCCCAUUCUGGUGGCCUUCUGCACACAUGACCUGGAGUCCCUGGUGGCCAUUACAGGAGCCUACGCGGGCACUGGCAUCCAGUAUGUCAUCCCCGCCUUCCUGGUGUUCCUCUGCCGCAAGGACACCCAGCUGACUUUCGGCUCCGGAACCAUCAACAAGCAUAGGUCCCCGUUCGGCCACACCUUCUGGGUGGCCUUUGUGCUGCUAUGGGCUUUCUCCUGCUUCUUCUUUGUCACAGCCUACAUCGUCCUCAAGGAGACCCAGCUAUGACAGCAGAUGCGUCUGACAACAGGAGGCAGAGACAGCCCAGCUCCAGCCUCCCUGCAUCAAAGCAGGAUUUAGCCACCACCCAGGUCUACGUGAGCGUGAGCGCGCUAGGCUGGGGCUCUCAGAGGAGGCCGUCUGCAUCUCUAGCUGCUGUCCUCUCCCCACCCAGGACGCCACCCUGCAGGACAGCCCUCCUGCGUGGGAACAUGGUUGUUACACACAUUCCUCCACUCCCGCCACUGGAGGCCGGUUCCCUCCUCUGCAGUGGAGGAGGCAGUGCUGGCCCUGCUGCCGUGUAUACCAGACCCCGUGCCCCUCCAGCGUCCUCCACCGUCCACUAGCAGCUGCUGCCUCUUCAAAGGCAAAUCCCAGGCCCUGGCUCUCCUAACCUGGCCUGCUUCUGAAGGGCAGGGCCUCUUUCCUGCCAAUCCUGACAGUUGCUACGUUGUUUUUCCCCCCUAUGGGAGGCCUGGCCAGCUCUAGUGACAAGGACAGGAAGUGCUAAUUGGCACCGGGGUCCCUAGGCAAGAGCUGUGAGAGCUUCUGCUGUGGGUGCCAGCUCUGGCACAGCAGACAGGUGAAGCAUCCUUCCACGGGCUUUAAAGCCCUCUAC